rnacentral:lncRNA from 1 species
CAAUAAGAAUAAUCACAAGAGAAAGAAGGUUAAGCUGGCUGUCCUGAAAUAUUAUAAGGUGGAUGAGAAUGGCAAAAUUAGUUGCCUUCGUCGAGAGUGACCUUCUGAUGAAUGUGGUGCUGAGGUGUUUAUGGCAAGCCACUUUGACAGACAUUAUUGUGGCAAAUGUUGUCUGACUUACUGCUUAACAAACCAGAAGACAAGUAAUUGUAUGAGUUAAUAAAAGACAUGAACUAACAACAACAACAACAACAAAAACAUUUUCUCUGUACAUCCAACUGCCUUCCUAUGUUAGGC